rnacentral:rRNA from 1 species
AAUGAACGCCGGCGGCGUGCCUAACACAUGCAAGUCGUACGAGAAAUCCCGAGCUUGCUUGGGAGAGUAAAGUGGCGCACGGGUGAGUAACGCGUGGGUAACCCACCUUCGAAUCUGGGAUAACUCCGCGAAAGCGGUGCUAAUACCGGAUAAGACCACAGCCGUUUCGGCGGCAGAGGUAAAAGCUGACCUCUCCAUGGAAGUUAGCGUUCGAGGACGGGCCCGCGUCCUAUCAGCUUGUUGGUGGGGUAAUGGCCUACCAAGGCAGCGACGGGUAGCUGGUCUGAGAGGAUGAUCAGCCACACUGGAACUGGAACACGGUCCAGACUCCUACGGGAGGCAGCAGUGAGGAAUUUUGCGCAAUGGGGGAAACCCUGACGCAGCAACGCCGCGUGGGUGAAGAAGGCUUUCGGGUCGUAAAGCCCUGUCAGGUGGGAAGAACCGUUUCGAUACUAAUAAUGUCGAAGCCUGACGGUACCACCAGAGGAAGCACCGGCCAACUCCGUG